rnacentral:rRNA from 1 species
CACGUAGGGGACGAGCGUUGUCCGGAUUCAUUGGGCGUAAAGCGCGCGUAGGCGGCUCGGAAAGUCGGUCGUGAAAUGCCGGGGCUCAACCCCGGGACUGCGUCCGAUACUCUCGAGCUGGAGGCAGGUAGGGGAGAUCGGAAUUCCUGGUGUAGCGGUGAAAUGCGCAGAUAUCAGGAGGAACACCGGUGGCGAAGGCGGCCCCCUGGACCGGUACUGACGCUGAGGCGCGAAAGCGUGGGUAGCAAACGGG